AUUACGAUUACAUGUGUAAGCGUGGAAGGUAUGGAUUCGGCACGGAUGCCGAAGGGCUGAGGUGGUGCAUGGUAGCAACAAGGGCAAUUCGGGAUGAAGAAGGCGGCACAGAAAGCAAGGUCUUAACAAGUCUAAGGUGUGUUUGGAAGGCUUUUUGGAGUAUUAGGAUCAAAGAUGGGCCAACCGGGGAAGUUGAAUAAGUCAAACAAAGCAAAAUAGAAAGUGAGAUUUCUGGAGGGCGUCACUGACGCCCCCUAGUUUGUCAAAACGAUAUUUUGUGGGUGAUUAACAUUGAAUGUCGAUUUUAUGAAGGGAGUUACAUCCCAAUUCAAAUUUCAUGGACAAAAAACUCAAAUCA